rnacentral:rRNA from 1 species
AAUGGGCGCAAGCCUGACCGAGCCAUGCCGCGUGAGCGAUGAAGGCCUUAGGGUUGUAAAGCUCUUUCGCCAGGGAUGAUAAUGACAGUACCUGGUAAAGAAACCCCGGCUAACUCCGUGCCAGCAGCCGCGGUAAUACGGAGGGGGUUAGCGUUGUUCGGAAUUACUGAGCGUAAAGCGUACGUAGGCGGAUUGGAAAGUUGGGGGUGAAAUCCCAGGGCUCAACCCUGGAACUGCCUCCAAAACUGCCAGUCUUGAGUUCGAGAGAGGUGAGUGGAACUCCGAGUGUAGAGGUGAAAUUCGUAGAUAUUCGGAAGAACACCAGUGGCGAAGGCGGCUCACUGGCUCGAUACUGACGCUGAGGUACGAAAGUGUGGGGAGCAAACAGGAUU